AAGAUUCAUCUACGACUCUGAUUGUAUAUCGUAUUACCGUUAGAGCAGACGCAUCCGUAUAGGCCCGCUAAUUGGAUUGUAAUCCAACUCUAAUCCACCCAAUCCACAUCAAGUUAAUUUAUUUUUUGAACCCAACUCACCUCAUAUUUAUAUUAUCUAAACCCAAGCCAAUUCACCUAUUAGUUGAUACAACCUAUGGGUUUGCUAUAAAAAAACUAUAGUUUGCUAUAU
rnacentral:lncRNA from 1 species